GGGCGGUUGGCGCAGUUGGUAGCGCGUUUCGUUCACACCGAAGAGGUCGCUGGUUCGAGUCCAGUACCGCCCA
rnacentral:tRNA from 4 species